GCCUGGGUGGCUCAGUGGUUGAGCAUCUGCCUUUGACUCAGGUCCUGAUCCCGGGGUCUUGGGAUCAAGUCCUGCAUCAGGCU
rnacentral:tRNA from 1 species